UACAGGGGGGGCAAGCGUUGUUCGGAAUUACUGGGCGUAAAGGGUUCGUAGGUGGCCACCUAAGUCAGACGUGAAAUCCCUCAGCUUAACUGGGGAACUGCGUCUGAUACUGGGUGGCUUGAGUGCAGGAGAGGAAUGCGGAAUUCCAGGUGUAGCGGUGAAAUGCGUAGAUAUCUGGAGGAACACCGGUGGCGAAGGCGGCAUUCUGGACCGGCAUUGACGCUGAGGCGCGAAAGCCAGGGGAGCAAACGGG
rnacentral:rRNA from 1 species